rnacentral:rRNA from 1 species
AGUGAACGCUGGCGGCGUGCUUAACACAUGCAAGUCGAACGAGAACGGAUUAUAGCUUGCUAUAAUUGUCAGCUAAGUGGCGCACGGGUGAGUAAUGUAUAGAUAACCUGCCCUCUAGAAAGGAAUAACAGUUGGAAACGACUGCUAAUGCCCUAUAUGCCUUUAAUACAUAAGUAUGCAAGGGAAACGCUUUAGUGCUAGAGGAUGGGUCUGUAUGGUAUCAGCUUGUUGGUGAGGUAAUGGCUCACCAAGGCUAUGACGCCUAACUGGUUUGAGAGGAUGAUCAGUCACACUGGAACUGAGACACGGUCCAGACUCCUACGGGAGGCAGCAGUGGGGAAUAUUGCACAAUGGACGAAAGUCUGAUGCAGCAACGCCGCGUGGAGGAUGACACAUUUCGGUGCGUAAAACUCCUUUUAAUAUAGGAAGAUAAUGACGGUACUAUAUGAAUAAGCACCGGCU